rnacentral:lncRNA from 1 species
UUAGAGUUUAAUUUGAAUCUGAUUAAAUCCCAAUGUAUACACAUGGAAUUUAAUCAAUCCUUCAUAUUAGGGUGAACAAGGUUGAGCAUUGAAACAUAUAGAGCCCAAUCAAAUCAAUUUGAUCAUACACUUUGAUUCAGAAUCAAAUUCAAUCAACCGUCAUACUGAAUUAUGUUAUAAAAUUCAUCUUUUAUUCAAUCACAGUAUUACAAAAGUCUCUUAAUCGAAGGUGCCUUAACACUUUGUAGGGGUAAUUAACAAUAAACGCUUGCGUUUAUUGGAAGCCAUGAAUCCACAAAACCUGAUUCCCAUACAUAUACAAAUAUUAAUCUGAAUCAUGAAUUCUACCUCUCGGUAAAAAUCAAAAUAAGAUCAACCGUGCGAGGUACGUCAUUCGUGGUCGCAGACAAUUUGAACUAUUCAAAUAUACAUAUCAUUUUAGCUCCCAGUAUUACAACCCAAAACAUUAUAUUCAUAUGUCCGUUUUUUUACAUCUUCCCGAAAUAUGGCCCAUCUAAGAAAACUCAAAAUAAA